rnacentral:ncRNA from 1 species
GUCUCCUUUGGAAGGAGAGAUGGAUGGAUGGAUGGAUAUGUCUGUAUAGAUAUAUACGUACAUAGGUACAUAUCUUAUUUAAAGAUAUGUGUACUUGUGUCUAU